rnacentral:lncRNA from 1 species
GGGACAUGGUUCGAGGAGAGGAGCUCACAUGUCCUUCGAUCUCUCCACAAGUCCUCCCUGUGGAGGGAUUUUGUUCAGUCUGGUGGUGACCAGAAGAGGAGCAGCCGACCCAGAUGUGUGCCAUCACCCUGCAACAUGCAACAGCUGUCAUUACUGAGGUUUAUCCAAACCUAAUCUGAGGAGCCUCUGGGAAGAGAACUUAAGACAAAAGGCUUGAGGGGUGGAUGCUGGCCAGGCAGCAGCAAAGGCGGAUGGAGUCAGAUGCUUGAGAAGAGAGGAGCACUAUAACCUGUAGUGGGGUGGAGAACAGUUUGUCUUUGGAAAUACAGCAUCCUGGUGUACAGAAGAGGAAGGAACACUCAUGUGCCUGUGAUUUGGGGAUGGUUACUUCCCAGUGUUAACCGGGAGCCAGACAGAGUUCCUUGCUCUGAAAGUUGUUAAAGCUGGUGACGGAACACACAGAAAGCGCCUGUGAUCACUUCUUGCAUGCCAGACACCCUACACAGUGUUUCAGUCGUCCUUUUUUCCUGUUUCCUUUGUCCUUUUUUUUUUUUUAAAGUGGGAAUUGUUAGACAGUUCAUGGCCACCCAACCAUAUUAGGCCUGUUCGAUCUUGAAAACACACCAUCAAUAUCAGCCUGGCAUCGUCUGGUAGCCAAGUGAACGGGCUAUCUCACGGUAAAACGAAGGGGCAGCUGCGGAUGUGGUAACUGUGCAAGCGUCACAGGCUGAUCCCUGCAGGGAGAGGCUGCUUGUGUUUCUCACGAAUUUUCUUAUUUGUGGUGAGUCGUCCAUGUGCAAGCUGGGACUCUGAGAAUUCCCACAGCUUCUUCCCAGAGCCUUCCCCUGUCUCCAGGAGUCUCAGCCUGCCGUCUUGGCGGAGGCACUGUUUCUCUUCACGUGCCACGGGCAAUAUGGGAGCAUGGCUGCUUUUGUUGCUGAUGAAAAUAUUAUGGCCUCGGUUCCCUGUAAUCAAUUUACUGCUUUAUGGACCCAAAGUCCUCCAGAGAAUUUAAUAAAUUCACAUAAUGUUUCUAAGUGCUGCAUUGUGCAUUUGGAGUGCUGAUUUAGCUGACAAAUGUGAAAAAUCCGUGUAGCUAGACAACUCCCUGGUGAUUAGACAUGUGUGGGAGCGGGAGAGAGCGUGUUGCUUGGGAGAAGGUCAGCAUUUGCAUACGCCGAGAGUCUCCGCUCUUGAUUGGCUUUGUGUCUCUCCGGCCCUGAUGGAUGGGACCAUCUGACUAGACAUUUGGGGGACCUUACCCAUCUCCAGUGGGGAUACACUUUUGGUUCUGUAACAGUUUGCAACUUACAGUCUGGGCAGACAGGAGGACACAGAUGACGGAGAUGCGGGGAUCAAUGACCGGGACUGACCGCUAGAUUUAGAUACUGCAAUGGCCACUGAAUUAUGGAUGGUCAGUCCUGAGGAUGCCAGGGGCCUCGGAGGGAGCAUUUCAUAGUAUCAGAGUCAUUUGCUUAAAAUGGGUUCACUUCAGCGUCUAUUGAAUUUCUACGUGUCUCUCUAUCUCUUCCACCUUAACUUCUAUCCAAAAGUAAACAGAUUUACCAAAAAAAACAAAAAAUGUUAAGACAUGUUAAUUAUUCAAAAUAAUCUUCUAUCUCUGUUAAUAUACACAUAAGCAUUAUGCAGAGUUCUAAUCACCCAAGACCAGUUAGUAUUUUAUUUUUUUCAUCUUUAUAUGUUACUUCACAGAAACGAUAAUGCUAUUGUUAUCUUCUGAGAUGGUCUGCAGGGCUGUGGCUCAAGUCUCCUGCUUGUAUCGAAUUUCUGAACAUUACCUUAAAGAUGUCGGCUUUCCGAUUGGUGCCUUUAAGUGGGGACGCCAGGGCCAAAAAAAAUGGGAAUGGG